rnacentral:lncRNA from 1 species
GUUCGAACCCCAUAACUCUGGACAGACGAGUUGUGAUGAUCACAUGACUGGCUCCGGUGUUAUUCGGAAUCAAGUCGUGUAAAUCCUUGUUACCACCACCAUCCCACCAUUCUUUCUCCGAUUCGAGAUUAUCGAUCACCACCAAGUAAGGAAUAUCUCUGAACAGUUCCCUUUUUACCUUAUCAAAAGCAUCGAUUUCUUGCUCGUCGAAGCUCCUAAUCCGACCUCUUUCCUUUUCAGCUUCGGCGCUUACAUCCAAACCCAACUUCGUUGCAAGAUUCAGUAUGCUCUGCCGAAAAUAUUUGGCUUCUCCGGCUAUCCACAAUACCAUCUUGUACCUCUCCGUAUAUCGGUAUGCAAACUCCAAAGCGACCUCCGUCUUCCCG